UAAUAAGUGUUUUAUGGCACUUUUUAAAUCCAUAUCCACCUUGUGUGCAAUGUCAGUCGAUCUUCUUCAUGGAGAUCGACCAAACAUCAACCUUUAUUUUUUUAACUCUUUGUCUGAAAAAUAUUAUGAAUAAACAAUUCAAAAAUA
rnacentral:misc_RNA from 1 species